rnacentral:lncRNA from 1 species
CUUGCCUAGUACGAAAAGGAACAUAAAUUGUCUGCAUCAAGUGGUAAUAAGGAAAUAUUGUUUAUUCUUUUCAGAGAUUGGAAAAUCUUUUCCAGGUAUUUCCAGACCAGAAAAUAAAAGCUCAGCCUGUGACCUGCUGUGCUAGAUCCAGCAGAGCAUCACAGAGAGGCAGAAGGGCUGUAGCUUGGCACUGUGCUCCCUGCUUGGGACGGCCCAUCACGGGCAGCCUGGGCUCGGACAAGCCCACCUGCAGGCACGUCCCCCUGUGCAGCACCAACCUGGAGCCACGAGCUUCUUCCACUUCUGGGAGCAGUUUCACAUGUUCUGAUGCAGUGAAUUCUCCCCCACUAGGGAAAGUGGACAUCUGGGAGAUGUGUAGUUAUCCAGUACCAAUUUCAGAGUCUUCUGUGCCUACACAUAUUCAGGUCAGGUCCAGCUCAAGAUACUGAACUACCACAGUAAUAGAUCUGCGAAGCUGGAAAUAUCACAGAUUUCCCAAGACGGACUCUGGUCUUUUUUUCCCCUUUGUGAAUUUGUUCAUUGCAUGGCAGCCUUUUGUGAGUUGCAGUUCUGUCUCCUUUAACCAUUCAAUAUUGUUACUAUGCUUUAUGUUACAGUUGAUUGAUUUGCGGUAGAAAUAGUCAAUAUUUACAAGAUCAUUCAUUCUGUUAGCUUUUGGUUGUGUAACAAUGAACCAAAUGGGAAUAACCCUCUUGUAUUUUAAAUGGCCCUGCAUACAGGUGUUCAUACCUUAGAUAAAACAGCAGCAGGAAACAAGGUAACCUUCAGGAAGAAACUGAGAUAGCAGAGUAGGAUUUGAUAAGAAUUAUUCAAAUGCUAUAGUGAAAGCUUUCUAAGCCUCUAAAUAAGUCAAGGGUGUCAAAAAAUGAUCUGCCUUGAACACCUAAUCUUUCUGUCAACUUGAAGCAGGGAUGGUCACAAAAAACAUAUGCACAAUUUUUAUUCCAUUGAUUGUUUUUCCAGAGUAUCAAGUCCCAGACAGUAGCUUAAUCUCAAGAACUGCAACUGGUUAGGAAGACUGAGGCAGACAGCAAAUACCCUUUGGUACUUUCCAUAUCUGUUCCUAAUAACCAGGACAUCAGUUUCCUUAAAGACUAACCCACUGUUCACAUGACAAGAAGAAUAACUUACAAGCUUUAUAUGAUAAUACUAUUUAGUAAUGGCUUCCAUUAUAAAACUUUUGGAAAAACAAUUUCAGACUUCUACUGAGUACCAUACCUUAGUUCAUGUCUGACCUAUGGCUUUUGAUAGCUAGUGCAGAGUAAUCUCUUUUCAGAUAUAAUAUUGCACCAAAGGAUUUUUUUUCAAGAAUAUAUUGAAAACCAGGAUACCUUAAAUAGCAGGAGUGGAGAAAAUAGUCCCCUAAUAAUCAAACUCUGAACAGUCUGCAGACAUCAGUUACACCUUUCGCAGUUGUAAGUUUAUCUC